rnacentral:rRNA from 1 species
GAUGAACGCUGGCGGCGUGCCUAAUACAUGCAAGUCGAGCGAACGGACGAGAAGCUUGCUUCUCUGAUGUUAGCGGCGGACGGGUGAGUAACACGUGGAUAACCUACCUAUAAGACUGGGAUAACUUCGGGAAACCGUAGCUAAUACCGGAUAAUAUUUUGAACCGCAUGGUUCAAAAGUGAAAGACGGUCUUGCUGUCACUUAUCGAUGGAUCCGCGCUGCAUUAGCUAGUUGGUAAGGUAACGGCUUACCAAGGCAACGAUGCAUAGCCGACCUGAGAGGGUGAUCGGCCACACUGGAACUGAGACACGGUCCAGACUCCUACGGGAGGCAGCAGUAGGGAAUCUUCCGCAAUGGGCGAAAGCCUGACGGAGCAACGCCGCGUGAGUGAUGAAGGUCUUCGGAUCGUAAAACUCUGUUAUUAGGGAAGAACAUAUGUGUAAGUAACUGUGCACAUCUUGACGGUACCUAAUCAGAAAGCAACGGCUAACUACGUG